UACGUAGGGUGCAAGCGUUGUCCGGAAUUAUUGGGCGUAAAGAGCUCGUAGGCGGUCUGUCGCGUCGGCUGUGAAAACUCGGGGCUCAACUCCGAGCUUGCAGUCGAUACGGGCAGGCUAGAGUUCGGCAGGGGAGACUGGAAUUCCUGGUGUAGCGGUGAAAUGCGCAGAUAUCAGGAGGAACACCGGUGGCGAAGGCGGGUCUCUGGACAGUUCCUGACGCUGAGGCACGAAGGUCAGGGGAGCAAACGGG
rnacentral:rRNA from 1 species